CUGCAACUCGCCUACACGAAGCUGGAAUCGCUAGUAAUCGCGGAUCAGCACGCCGCGGUGAAUACGUUCCCGGGCCUUGUACACACCGCCCGUCACACCAUGAGAGUCUGUAACACCCAAAGCCGGUGGGAUAACCUUUAUAGGAGUCAGCCGUCUAAGGUAGGACAGAUGAUUAGGGUGAAGUCGUAACAAGGUAUC
rnacentral:rRNA from 1 species